AGAGAGAGACAUGCGUGCAUAUCAAUAAGCGGAGGAAAAGAAACUAACAAGGAUUCCCCUAGUAACGGCGAGUGAAGCGGGAAGAGCUCAAAUUUGAAAUCUUAAAGGGUUUCCCUUUACGAAUUGUAGUUUAAAGAAGUGUUUUCUGUUGAGGUUUUGGUAAAAGUUCUUUGGAAUAGGACAUCAUAGAGGGUGAGAAUCCCGUAUUUGACCUUUACUUUCAACUUUGUGAUACACUUUCAAAGAGUCGGAUUGUUUGGGAAUGCAGUCCAAAAUGGGUGGUAAAUUUCAUCUAAAGCUAAAUAUUGGCGAGAGACCGAUAGCGAACAAGUACCGUGAGGGAAAGAUGAAAAGAACUUUGAAAAGAGAGUUAAACAGUACGUGAAAUUGUCAAAAGGGAAGCGUUUGACACCAGUGUUGUUUUUCUGAAAAUCAAUUAAAGAACUGUUUAUGCUAAGCUGUUUAGACUUUAUCAGCUAACUGUUUAGUUUUGAGCUUUUCUUUAAUGCACUUUUCAGUUAACAAGUCAACAUCAAUUUCUUUUGCUGUAAAAAAGCUUGAGGAAGGUGGCUUGAGAUUCGUCUUAAGUGUUUAUAGCCUCUUGCCUAUGCAGUCGGAGAGAUUGAGGUCUGCAGCGUAGAUCCUUCGGGGCUAAAUGCAUUUGUGCUAAGUUAUAGCAUUUUAUAGACAACUUGUUGACUAUGAUUUGUCUCGUAGCUUACUCGCUUAUGUUAUUUUACCUACGCUUAGGAUGUUGAGCGCAUGUCUCUCUCU
rnacentral:rRNA from 1 species